AGGCCCUGUGGUUUAACCCGCAGCGUCACCCGCAUCCCUUAUAGAUGCAUAUAUGACUCCGCUUAGAACAUGGUAGGGGUGAGGAUUCUGUGGUCCUUCAGACGUUGUUAGGCUCCCAACACCCAUUAGCCUGAGCGAGGAUGGUCAAUAUUUGGAGAGCUACAGGUUCUCCAAAGAGGCCUUGCUUCUGAUUAAAGAUAAUGCAUAGAAUUUCUAGGAUGAGAUUUCUCCUUCCCUCAAACUCUUCAAGGCUGAUGAAAAACUUCUCUUUCACAUUUUCCUUUCCUAUCUUAACCUGAAUAUCGAACGUGCUUUGCAAGGAGCCCUGGGCUUGCUUGCUUGCCGCCCCACAUUUCCAUUCUGUGAGUGGAAACCUGUGGAGAAUCAUUUUAAAGGAUCCCUUCUAGGGUUGUGCCUAGUGUUCCAAGGCCACAAAAUUGCAGAUAAUCCCGUUGCAAAGAGCUAAUCUUGAGGGGUAGGUUUUGCGGCUAUAUAUUUCCCACAGAGACACUGCUGAUCCACAGGAGCAGCCCUGUUAUAUCAUAGACAACGCUGGUUGAAUAUGCACGCUUGGAAAAUGCUCAGCGCUGUGAUAAGUGGAAUGGGGAUCAUCAUAUACUCCAGAGUUAAAACAGGGAUGCUGGCAAGGCCUAGCAGACCUUACUGUAGCUCUGGAUGAAUCCAAGUGGUCCUAGGACAGUCCUUUGCGGUGGAAGACAGGACAGUACUGUAGUAAGCAAGCUGUCCAUCAAAGAACCAUGGACAGUAUCUAAGACACGGAUUCCAUUAGCACAAGGAUUCCACAAAAUUGUCGAGUUUGAAGGGACCCAAAUUUGCUCCAGAGGAUUGAGGGAAACCCCAGAACAGUACAAAAGGAAAAGGGAGGAGGUUCUGUUGCACAAGUGUAAAUCCUUACAUUAAUGGAACGUAGUGCUACACAUUGGGUGCAAUCCUUUGACAUCAUUGAUUAUUCUCACUGAGGAGCCUCUUAAUACCUUAUUUUAAAAGCUGCCAAGUGGAAGUGAGCCUGAAGGAAGGAGUGAUGGUUGCCUAGGGCAGGGUUAGGCAGACUUAAGGUAUUUCUUUCCCCCCAAUUAUGAUUUGGAUAUGAAGAUACCCCAAUCAGAGCCAGAUGCAGAAUAAUGGCGGAGAUUGCUCCAGUACACUUCAGAUGAAGAGCACGGUGACUCCUAGGCACAGGAAUUUGCUUUCGGGAUCAGAACUGGUUUCACAAUCCUCAUGCGAGCCCACUUAACGAGAUGUUUCCCCCUGUGCUUUGGAGCUGGAGAACCUUCAGAUGUUGUUAAUCCGAACUAUAGGCUACGCCCGCUGAACCUGAUGGGAACUAGAGUCUUAACUGUAUCUGAAGCUUCACAGGGUGCCCAUCUC